CUAUAUAGCCCUGGCUGGCCUGGGACUCCCUAUGCAGAUCCGUGGCCUGAAGAGGAAAUUUCUGUUUUCUUUGGAGACUCAGAGUUGUCCUGUGAUGCUCUUCUGGAAGCCGGCUUGUGGGAGGAUGUUUUGCUGAUGCAGACAUGUGAGGAAAUAAUAUGUACACUAUCACUCCAAGUGCCAGAGUGUCACCUAGAGACAGCAAGCCAUCCAUCCUCACACCACCCUAGAAUCUCAUGGAAAGGAACAGAAUAACAGAGUCAAACCCAUUGCUCUCAACUGUCUACAGCAAGAUGCACAAUUUUUCUGUUUCUUCUAAAUAAUUUCCUGGCUUUCUGGCACUCCUAAAUUCAACAAAAUAGCCUGGA
rnacentral:lncRNA from 1 species